rnacentral:rRNA from 1 species
GAUGAACGCUGGCGGCGUGCCUAAUACAUGCAAGUCGAGCGAACGGACGAGAAGCUUGCUUCUCUGAUGUUAGCGGCGGACGGUUGAGUAACACGUGGAUAACCUACCUAUAAGACUGGGAUAACUUCGGGAAACCGUAGCUAAUACCGGAUAAUAUUUUGAACCGCAUGGUUCAAAAGUGAAAGACGGUCUUGCUGUCACUUAUAGAUGGAUCCGCGCUGCAUUAGCUAGUUGGUAAGGUAACGGCUUACCAAGGCAACGAUGCAUAGCCGACCUGAGAGGGUGAUCGGCCACACUGGAACUGAGACACGGUCCAGACUCCUACGGGAGGCAGCAGUAGGGAAUCUUCCGCAAUGGGCGAAAGCCUGACGGAGCAACGCCGCGUGAGUGAUGAAGGUCUUCGGAUCGUAAAACUCUGUUAUUAGGGAAGAACAUAUGUGUAAGUAACUGUGCACAUCUUGACGGUACCUAAUCAGAAAGCCACGGCUAACUACGUG